rnacentral:rRNA from 1 species
GGGUUGUGAGGUUAAGCGACUAAGCGUACACGGUGGAUGCCCUGGCAGUCAGAGGCGAUGAAGGACGUGCUAAUCUGCGAUAAGCGUCGGUAAGGUGAUAUGAACCGUUAUAACCGGCGAUUUCCGAAUGGGGAAACCCAGUGUGUUUCGACACACUAUCAUUAACUGAAUCCAUAGGUUAAUGAGGCGAACCGGGGGAACUGAAACAUCUAAGUACCCCGAGGAAAAGAAAUCAACCGAGAUUCCCCCAGUAGCGGCGAGCGAACGGGGAGGAGCCCAGAGCCUGAAUCAGUGUGUGUGUUAGUGGAAGCGUCUGGAAAGGCGCGCGAUACAGGGUGACAGCCCCGUACACAAAAAUGCACAUGCUGUGAGCUCGAUGAGUAGGGCGGGACACGUGGUAUCCUGUCUGAAUAUGGGGGGACCAUCCUCCAAGGCUAAAUACUCCUGACUGACCGAUAGUGAACCAGUACCGUGAGGGAAAGGCGAAAAGAACCCCGGCGAGGGGAGUGAAAAAGAACCUGAAACCGUGUACGUACAAGCAGUGGGAGCACGCUUAGGCGUGUGACUGCGUACCUUUUGUAUAAUGGGUCAGCGACUUAUAUUCUGUAGCAAGGUUAACCGAAUAGGGGAGCCGAAGGGAAACCGAGUCUUAACUGGGCGUUAAGUUGCAGGGUAUAGACCCGAAACCCGGUGAUCUAGCCAUGGGCAGGUUGAAGGUUGGGUAACACUAACUGGAGGACCGAACCGACUAAUGUUGAAAAAUUAGCGGAUGACUUGUGGCUGGGGGUGAAAGGCCAAUCAAACCGGGAGAUAGCUGGUUCUCCCCGAAAGCUAUUUAGGUAGCGCCUCGUGAAUUCAUCUCCGGGGGUAGAGCACUGUUUCGGCAAGGGGGUCAUCCCGACUUACCAACCCGAUGCAAACUGCGAAUACCGGAGAAUGUUAUCACGGGAGACACACGGCGGGUGCUAACGUCCGUCGUGAAGAGGGAAACAACCCAGACCGCCAGCUAAGGUCCCAAAGUCAUGGUUAAGUGGGAAACGAUGUGGGAAGGCCCAGACAGCCAGGAUGUUGGCUUAGAAGCAGCCAUCAUUUAAAGAAAGCGUAAUAGCUCACUGGUCGAGUCGGCCUGCGCGGAAGAUGUAACGGGGCUAAACCAUGCACCGAAGCUGCGGCAGCGACGCUUAUGCGUUGUUGGGUAGGGGAGCGUUCUGUAAGCCUGUGAAGGUGUGCUGUGAGGCAUGCUGGAGGUAUCAGAAGUGCGAAUGCUGACAUAAGUAACGAUAAAGCGGGUGAAAAGCCCGCUCGCCGGAAGACCAAGGGUUCCUGUCCAACGUUAAUCGGGGCAGGGUGAGUCGACCCCUAAGGCGAGGCCGAAAGGCGUAGUCGAUGGGAAACAGGUUAAUAUUCCUGUACUUGGUGUUACUGCGAAGGGGGGACGGAGAAGGCUAUGUUGGCCGGGCGACGGUUGUCCCGGUUUAAGCGUGUAGGCUGGUUUUCCAGGCAAAUCCGGAAAAUCAAGGCUGAGGCGUGAUGACGAGGCACUACGGUGCUGAAGCAACAAAUGCCCUGCUUCCAGGAAAAGCCUCUAAGCAUCAGGUAACAUCAAAUCGUACCCCAAACCGACACAGGUGGUCAGGUAGAGAAUACCAAGGCGCUUGAGAGAACUCGGGUGAAGGAACUAGGCAAAAUGGUGCCGUAACUUCGGGAGAAGGCACGCUGAUAUGUAGGUGAAGCGACUUGCUCGUGGAGCUGAAAUCAGUCGAAGAUACCAGCUGGCUGCAACUGUUUAUUAAAAACACAGCACUGUGCAAACACGAAAGUGGACGUAUACGGUGUGACGCCUGCCCGGUGCCGGAAGGUUAAUUGAUGGGGUCAGCGCAAGCGAAGCUCUUGAUCGAAGCCCCGGUAAACGGCGGCCGUAACUAUAACGGUCCUAAGGUAGCGAAAUUCCUUGUCGGGUAAGUUCCGACCUGCACGAAUGGCGUAAUGAUGGCCAGGCUGUCUCCACCCGAGACUCAGUGAAAUUGAACUCGCUGUGAAGAUGCAGUGUACCCGCGGCAAGACGGAAAGACCCCGUGAACCUUUACUAUAGCUUGACACUGAACAUUGAGCCUUGAUGUGUAGGAUAGGUGGGAGGCUUAGAAGUGUGGACGCCAGUCUGCAUGGAGCCGACCUUGAAAUACCACCCUUUAAUGUUUGAUGUUCUAACGU